AUAUCAAUAAGCGGAGGAAAAGAAACUAACAAGGAUUCCCCUAGUAACUGCGGGUGAAGCGGGAAAAGCUCAAAUUUAAAAUCUGGUGGUCUUUGGCCAUCCGAGUUGUAAUUUAGAGAAGCGUCUUCCGCGCUGGACCGUGCACAAGUCUCCUGGAACGGAGCGUCGUAGAGGGUGAGAAUCCCGUCUUUGGCAUGGACACACCAGGGCUUUUGCGAUGCGCUCUCGAAGAGUCGAGUUGUUUGGGAAUGCAGCUCAAAAUGGGUGGUGAACUCCAUCUAAAGCUAAAUAUUGGCGAGAGACCGAUAGCGAACAAGUACCGUGAGGGAAAGAUGAAAAGCACUUUGGAAAGAGAGUGAAACAGUACGUGAAAUUGUUGAAAGGGAAACGCUUGAAGUCAGUCGCGUCGUCCGAGACUCAGCCUCGCCUCGGCUUGGCGUACUUCUCGGCCCGACGGGUCAGCAUCAAUUUCGCCUCUCGGAUAAUGGCGAGGGAAAAGUGACACCUUUACGGUGUGUUAUAGUCCCUCGUCGCAUGCGAGGGUCGGGAUUGAGGAACUCAGCACGCGCCCUCGGGCGUCGGGGUUUUCGCCCACGAUACGUGCUUAGGAUGUUGGCGUAAUGGCUUUAAACGA
rnacentral:rRNA from 1 species